AUUGAACGCUGGCGGCAUGCCUUACACAUGCAAGUCGAACGGCAGCACGGACUUCGGUCUGGUGGCGAGUGGCGAACGGGUGAGUAAUGCAUCGGAACGUACCCGGUAGUGGGGGAUAACUACCCGAAAGGGUGGCUAAUACCGCAUAUACUGUGCGCAGGAAAGCAGGGGACCUUCGGGCCUUGUGCUACCGGAGCGGCCGAUGUCAGAUUAGGUAGUUGGUGGGGUAACGGCCUACCAAGCCUGCGAUCUGUAGCGGGUCUGAGAGGAUGAUCCGCCACACUGGGACUGAGACACGGCCCAGACUCCUACGGGAGGCAGCAGUGGGGAGUUUUGGACAAUGGGCGCAAGCCUGAUCCAGCCAUGCCGCGUGAGUGAAGAAGGCCUC
rnacentral:rRNA from 1 species